AAGGGGUUAGUUAAUAUAUAACAUUGGCAUGUCAAACCAAAGUAGUUUCUACCAAACACCCCUUC
rnacentral:tRNA from 1 species